rnacentral:misc_RNA from 1 species
GAUGAAGAACGCAGCGAAAUGCGAUAAGUAAUGUGAAUUGCAGAAUUCCGUGAAUCACCGAAUCUUUGAACGCACAUUGCGCCCCCUGGUAUUCCGGGGGGCAUGCCUGUCCGAGCGUCAUUGCAACCUUCAAGCGCGGCUUGUGUGUUGGGUCUCGUCCCCCGUGGACGGGCCCGAAAGGCAGUGGCGGCGUCCCGACAUGGUGCCCGAGCGUAUGGGAAUCCUCUUCCGCUCGAAUCGGCCCAUGCGGCGCUGGUCGUAACCAAAUUUUUUACCGGUUGACCUCGGAUCAGGUAGGGAUACCCGCUGAACUUAAGCAUAUCAAUAAGCGGAGGA